rnacentral:rRNA from 1 species
CCACUUUUACUUAACUUACAAAUAGGUUAAUAUUUCAGGUGGUGGCACAAAAUCGGAGGCCCCGACUGUUUACUUAAAACAUAAGAAUCUGCAAUGAUUAAUAUCGUGGUAUAGGUUCUGAAAUUUGCCNAAUGCCAUUAAUAUAAGUGCGGUAAUGAGAGUUACUAAUCCCACGAAUGUCUGGUUAAUAGCGGUCUUAACUAUGAGGAUCCAAAGGUAGCAAAAUAAGUUGGCCGUUAAAUGAGGUCUUGUAUCAAUAAUGUAACGAGGGCCUCACUGUCUCUACAAGUCGCUCAGUGAAAUUGAAUUGUGAGUGCAGAUGC